AUUGAACGCUGGCGGCAGGCCUAACACAUGCAAGUCGAACGAGAGCCGGACGGGUGAGAAUAGUGUGGGAAACUGUGCGAUGGAGGGGGAUAACUAUUGGAAACGGUAGGUAUAAUCGCGUACCCUAGGAUGUGACCAUAUGGGGUUAGCUAGUGGGUGGGGUAAAGGCUCACCUAGGCGACGAUCCCUAGCUGGUCUGAGAGGAGGAGCAGCCACACUGGAACUGAGACACGGUCCAGACUCCUACGGGAGGCAGCAGUGGGGAAUAUGGCACAAUGGGCGCAAGCCUGAUGCAGCCAUGCAGCGUGUAUGAAGAAGGCCUUCGGGUUGUAAAGUACUUUCAGCGGGGAGGCGUUACCCGCAGAAGAAGCACCGGCUAACUCCGUGUCAGCAGCCGCGGUAAUAC
rnacentral:rRNA from 1 species